CGCAUAUUUGGCCUCCCAGGGGAUGAUGGUCCGAUGGAGUCAUAAAACACCUUCAGAUCAACCUUAUUCCGAAAACAACCCUCUCAGUAUUUCCUGCAGUCGCUGGGUCAGUGUAUUUUACAGGCUUUAAGUAAUGGUGGAAUUUUGAGCUUUAUCACAUUUAAUCAUUUGGUGUUUGACUGGAUGCUCUAAUUCCAAAAUGAUAAAAGAGAGUUUUAACGAGAGACUAGAGCCGGUGUAUCCUAAGAAUUCUGCAGCAAACAUCCCUGGGCCCAGCGAGCUAUGGCGCCUGAACUAUCAAUUACCUGUUUCUGUUACCUUGUCAUUGAAAAAUUAGAAUGAAGAGAAUCGUUUUUUUUUCUCUUUUUUUUUUUUGAAUGCGUUAGUAUUUACAAUGAGAUAUUUUAUGGUUGUGGUAAACCAUAACCACUGAGCCCAAUAUGAAUAUUCAGAUUGUGAGAUAGUGUUGUAGGACCUAAUUUGGAGUAAUGUUAUUGA
rnacentral:lncRNA from 1 species